rnacentral:rRNA from 1 species
UACGAAGGGGGCUAGCGUUGCUCGGAAUUACUGGGCGUAAAGCGCACAUAGGCGGUCUUUUAAGUCGGUGGUGAAAUCCUGGAGCUCAACUCCAGAACUGCCUUCGAUACUGGAAGACUUGAGUCCGGGAGAGGUGAGUGGAACUGCGAGUGUAGAGGCGAAAUUCGUAGAUAUUCGCAAGAACACCAGUGGCGAAGGCGGCUCACUGGCCCGGUACUGACGCUGAGGUGCGAAAGCGUGGGGAGCAAACAGG